CGUUGAGAAGCUAAACUGGGCCUAGCGUUAGCCUUUUAAGCUAAAGACUGGUGGUUCCCGCCCACCCUUAGCGA
rnacentral:tRNA from 1 species